rnacentral:tRNA from 1 species
UGGGGGAUCGGCUAAUGGUAGGCCAUCAGACUUUGGAUCUGAGAGUCCAGGUUCGAAUCCUGGUCCCCCAG